rnacentral:lncRNA from 1 species
CAAAAUCCAUAACAUGUUAGCAGGACUUAUCUAGCUGCCUCCACAGAAUAGCCAAGCAACUCUACACCCGCUUUAGCCCCCACAAAAACAAGCGGAUUGCACUACAAAUAAUUUGCCUAUUUGGAAAAUGAAAGCUUCUCUGUAGUUUGAGGUCCUAUUUUUUCUUUAAGUUGUUACAGUCUUUUCAUGGUCCUUGAGGUCUAGGUUAGGUUUUUGUUUGGGGUAAUUUUUGUAUCCUAUGGAUACUAUUUAAUCUUUAGUAUUGAGUCAGUAUUUCUCACUUAGGCCUUAGGGGAAUACUGCCUGAAGUAUGUAGGGGGCAUGCGGAAUUCAGACGUGGCUUGGAAACUGCACCAUGGGUUCACCCAAGAAACAGACCAGAGGCAACACAUUCUAUCACUAAAACGUGUUCUCAGUUACACUUCCCUUCCAAAGAGGAGAAAAUAUACAAAGAGAAGAUGAAGAGACAACCAAAUUUACUCGUCAAAACAAGUUUCACAGCUCCUCCUGCUCCAGAAGGUUCCGUUUGCUUUAUGAAAAUGAAGCUGUCUUGUUUUCUGGUUCAUAAAUCAUUGUCAAGCGGAGCUAGAUAACAGAAACAAGUUCAGAUUCUGGAAUGAUUAUCCUUAGAGAUGAUGUAUUAAAUAUACAGAAUACAACUUGAUUUUCAUAAGCCACGUUGACUUUGCAGAACUAAGGCUGCAGGGGAAAAUUAUUUCAUAAGAGGAGGGGUGAGAGCUCGCAAAAUCUAACCAGGUGGGAACGAUGGGAGAGGGAAGGAAGUAGAGCAUUUUCACAUGUAAAGAUGUGUCUGCUUUCUCCAGUUUUCUCUCUAUUAUUUACCUAAUGUCAUUUAAGCAUUUGGUGCCUCUGUCUUCUAUUAACAAUAUGGGAAGCAUCUUUAGAAAAGAAGAGCUUCUCCUUCUUCCUAGAUUAACUACCGCUUUUCUUUCAUCCUCUUCUCUGAAUAUUGUGGUAUCAUGUAAAAUAUUUCUUCUACCUCUUCGUAACUUAACCUCUCCCCCUGCAAUGAGCUUGGUUUGAGUUGUACUUUUGGAGUUCCAUAUCUCAUACCCAGUAGGCUUUCUAAUGCCUCACCAGAGCCGCACAAUCCACGGGAGUGAAAUCUGGAGAAAAAUCACAGUGGAGUGAGAAAGAGUCACAGAAAUACCCUGAGAUCAGAAGUGUCUUUGUGGUAACUCAGGGAACAGGUUUCUUGCCACUGAAUGGUGCUGAAGCUGAUUUCCUUCUGAAUGAAGACUUCAGACCACCAAGCCAACUUAAAAAUGUAUUUUGCUGAAAAAGAGAGGUUUCUUCUGUGUAAAAUGUAUUUUACUUCCUAUUCAACUGCUUAGUUCCUAUUGGAGCUCUGUAUUAGUCUGUUCUCACGCUGCUAAUAAAGACAUACCCGAGACUGGGUAAGUAAUAAAGAAAAAGAGGUUUAAUGAUCUCACAGUUCCACGUGGCUGGAGAGGCCUCCCAAUCAUGGCAGAUGGAAAAAGCAUGUCUUACAGGGUGGCAGACAAGAGAAAAUGAGAAACAAGUGAAAAAGGUUUCCCCUUAUAAAACCAUCAGUUCUUGUGAAACUUAUUCACUACCACGAGAACAGUAUGGGAGAAACCACCCUUGUGAUUCAAUUAUGUCCCAACGGGUCCCUCCCACAACGUGUGGGAUUAUGGGAGCUACAAUUCAAGAUGAGAUUUGGGUGAGGACAAAGCUAAACCACAUCAAGCUCCAAAUCUCAUUUCAGACAUGAAGCCUCCUCUCC